rfam:Schizophyllum commune H4-8 unplaced genomic scaffold SCHCOscaffold_8, whole genome shotgun sequence.
GGGCUCGUGGUACAGUGGUAGCACGUUCGCUUAGCAUCCUUCUCUCUGUCGGCCAGUUGCGAAAGGUCCUGGGUUCAAUUCCCAGCGAGUCCA